GUCUAUGGCCAUGCCACCCUGAACGUGCCCAAUCUCGUCUGAUCUUGGAAGCUAAGCAGGGUUGGGCCUGGUUAGUACUUGGAUGGGAGACCAUUUCAGAAUACUAGGUGAUGUAGACA
rnacentral:rRNA from 1 species